AUUGAACGCUGGCGGCAUGCUUUACACAUGCAAGUCGAACGGUAACAGGCCGCAAGGUGCUGACGAGUGGCGAACGGGUGAGUAAUGCAUCGGAACGUGCCCAGUCGUGGGGGAUAACGCAGCGAAAGCUGUGCUAAUACCGCAUACGAUCUAUGGAUGAAAGCGGGGGACCGGAAGGCCUCGCGCGAUUGGAGCGGCCGAUGUCAGUUUAGCUAGUUGGUGGGGUAAAGGCCCCCCAAGGCAACGAUCUGUAGCUGGUCUGAGCGGACGACCACCCACACUGGGACUGAGACACGGCCCAGACUCCUACGGGAGGCAGCAGUGGGGAAUUUUGGACAAUGGGCGCAAGCCUGAUCCAGCAAUGCCGCGUGCAGGAUGAAGGCCUUCGGUUUGUAAACUGCUUUUGUACGGAGCGAAAAGGCUCUCUCUAAUACGGGGGGCUCAUGACGGUACCGUAAGAAUAAGCACCGGCUAACUACGUGCCAGCCGCCGCCGUAACAC
rnacentral:rRNA from 1 species